rnacentral:rRNA from 1 species
UAUGGCUCAGGAUGAACGCCGGCGGUGUGCCUAAUACAUGCAAGUCGAGCGCACUGGCCCAACUGAUAUGACGUGCUUGCACUGAUUUGACGAUGGAUUACCAGUGAGCGGCGGACGGGUGAGUAACACGUGGGCAACCUGCCCCAGAGCGGGGGAUAACAUUUGGAAACAGGUGCUAAUACCGCAUAACUCCGAWAACCACAUGGUUUUCGGAUAAAAGAUGGUUUCGGCUAUCACUUUGGGAUGGGCCCGCGGUGCMUUAGCUAGUUGGUAAGGUAACGGCUUACCAAGGCGAUGAUGCAUAGCCGAGUUGAGAGACUGAUCGGCCACAAUGGAACUGAGACACGGUCCAUACUCCUACGGGAGGCAGCAGUAGGGAAUCUUCCACAAUGGGCGCAAGCCUGAUGGAGCAACACCGCGUGAGUGAAGAAGGGUUUCGGCUCGUAAAACUCUGUUGUUGAAGAAGAACGUGCGUGAGAGUAACUGUUCAUGCAGUGACGGUAUUCAACCAGAAAGUCACGGCUAACUACGUGCCAGCAGCCGCGGUAAUACGUAGGUGGCAAGCGUUAUCCGGAUUUAUUGGGCGUAAAGCGAGCGCAGGCGGUUACUUAGGUCUGAUGUGAAAGCCUUCGGCUUAACCGAAGAAGUGCAUCGGAAACCGGGCGACUUGAGUGCAGAAGAGGACAGUGGAACUCCAUGUGUAGCGGUGGAAUGCGUAGAUAUAUGGAAGAACACCAGUGGCGAAGGCGGCUGUCUGGUCUGCAACUGACGCUGAGGCUCGAAAGCAUGGGUAGCGAACAGGAUUAGAUACCCUGGUAGUCCAUGCCGUAAACGAUGAGUGCUAGGUGUUGGAGGGUUUCCGCCCUUCAGUGCCGCAGCUAACGCAUUAAGCACUCCGCCUGGGGAGUACGACCGCAAGGUUGAAACUCAAAGGAAUUGACGGGGGCCCGCACAAGCGGUGGAGCAUGUGGUUUAAUUCGAAGCUACGCGAAGAACCUUACCAGGUCUUGACAUCUUGCGCUAACCUAAGAGAUUAGGCGUUCCCUUCGGGGACGCAAUGACAGGUGGUGCAUGGUCGUCGUCAGCUCGUGUCGUGAGAUGUUGGGUUAAGUCCCGCAACGAGCGCAACCCUUGUUACUAGUUGCCAGCAUUCAGUUGGGCACUCUAGUGAGACUGCCGGUGA